CCAGCUUGGCCCGGCCCCUUCUCACCAACUACAACCCAACGUGGCCCUUCCGCCCCGCCCCCCCUCCCCGCCCCCGGUCCUCUCUCAGGCCUGGGGAGGCCGAACCUGAAGACUGCAGAUAGCGCGGAUGCUUCCCAAGCCCACCUUUUUGGACCCAGAGGAAGAUGAGGUGUGGGGAGGGGAGGCAAAAGGAGAACAGAAGAGAGAAAGGGAAGAAAGCUGGCCGCGCGGAGGUGGAGGGGGGGGGGCUGGGCGGAGAGGGAGGGAGAGCCUAUUUGCUCGUAAACAGUUCGGGCCCUCUUAAUGGAGGUCAGUGGGAAGCAGAAGGCAACGGAUAACUUUCGGAGAGACGGGCGCCCCAGAAGACUAGUUGUGCCUUUACCCAACGCCACUCUCCAUCCGGCUGCCCUCGCGUCUUCACCCCCCACCCCCAGCCUUUUCUUCUUGCUGGCUCCUUUCUGCAGCCCCGCCUUGGAGCGGAGGCCGGGCAAGGGCUGGAGAGGGCCGAGUAAACACGCCAUUUACUUUGUGUAUUGAGAAGCCCUGAAGAGUCCUCACCAAACACUCACCACCAGCCUCUCCCACGUGCCAUUUGUUGACUAAGUGCGGCGGGUUUUGCAGCCACCCGAGAGGAGGGGAAGGGGGAAAAGGGCGGAUAAGGGAAGAGGGGGGGAGUGGUGGUGUCUGGGGGGAGAUGGCCAAUGCUGGAGCGAGUGUGAGUGGAAGCGUGCGGGUGAAUGUGUGCGUGUGAGCGCGUGGGGGUGGGGGAAUGCAUGGGUGUGUAUGUCAGUCAGUCUUUUGGUGCUGGAGUGUGUAUGUAUGUGCCAGUGAACGUUAGUGUGUCAGUGUGUCAGAGUGCGCCCGAGUGUCAGGGAUUAUCUGUGUUGUGCCGUGUAUAUGUGUGUGUUGUGAAGUCUGUGUUGCGGGGCGUGUGUGCGUGUGCGCGCGCGCCUCCAUAUCAGCUCUUUCCCAAGACCCAGCAGAGGCGGCGCCCCUUCAGCUGUUGCCAGAAAACCGGGGAAGAAAAAUUCUUCUCAUCCUUCAAGAUUCAACUCCAAGGCCAUUUCCUCCUUGAGACCUCUUGUGAUUGCCCUGUCUAA
rnacentral:lncRNA from 1 species